rnacentral:rRNA from 1 species
UACGUAGGGUGCAAGCGUUGUCCGGAAUUAUUGGGCGUAAAGAGCUCGUAGGCGGUUUGUCGCGUCGGCUGUGAAAUCCCGAGGCUCAACCUCGGGCCUGCAGUCGAUACGGGCAAACUAGAGUGUGGUAGGGGAGACUGGAAUUCCUGGUGUAGCGGUGAAAUGCGCAGAUAUCAGGAGGAACACCGGCGGCGAAGGCGGGUCUCUGGGCCUUACCUGACGCUGAGGAGCGAAAGCGUGGGGAGCGAACAGG